rnacentral:rRNA from 1 species
GACGAACCGUCCAAACGUUAUUCGGAAUCACUGGGCUUAAAGGGCGCGUAGGCGGCCGAGCGGGUCGCGGGUGAAAUCCUCCAGCUUAACUGGAGAACUGCCCUCGAUACCACUGCGGCUCGAGGAAGGAAGGGGCAAUCGGAACUGUCGGUGGAGCGGUGAAAUGCGUUGAUAUCGACAGGAACGCCGGUGGCGAAGGCGGCUCACUGGCCCGGUACUGACGCUGAGGUGCGAAAGCGUGGGGAGCAAACAGG